rnacentral:tRNA from 1 species
GCUGAGCGACUAAAGCCGAAGACCCCGCACUCGAAAUGCGGCGUGGGGGUAACUCCACCGUGGGUUCGAAUCCCACCCUCUCCGCCA